rnacentral:rRNA from 1 species
GACGAACGCUGGCGGCGUGCUUAACACAUGCAAGUCGAACGGAAAGGCCCUGCUUUUGUUGGGUGCUCGAGUGGCGAACGGGUGAGUAACACGUGAGUAACCUGCCCUUGACUUUGGGAUAACUUCAGGAAACUGGGGCUAAUACCGGAUAGGAGCUCCUGCUGCAUGGUGGGGGUUGGAAAGUUUCGGCGGUUGGGGCUGGACUCGCGGCUUAUCAGCUUGUUGGUGGGGUAGUGGCUUACCAAGGCUUUGACGGGUAGCCGGCCUGAGAGGGGGACCGGCCACAUGGGGACUGCGAGACGCACCAGACUGCUACGUGACGCAGCAGUCGGGAAUAUUGCACAAUGGGCGGAAGCCUGAUGCAGCAAUGCCGCGUGCGGGAUGACGUCCUUCGGGUUGUAAACCGCUGUCGCCUGUGACGAAGCGUGAGUGACGGUAAUGGGUAAAGAAGCACCGGCUAACUACGUG